rnacentral:rRNA from 1 species
AGAGAAUAGAUACCCUGGUAGUCCACGCCGUAAACUAUGGAUGCUAGCUGUUAUGAGUAUCGACCCUCGUAGUAGCGUAGCUAACGCGUUAAGCAUCCCGCCUGUGGAGUACGGUCGCAAAGACUAAAACAUAAAGGGAAUUGACGGGGACCCGCACAAGCGGUGGAGCGUGUUGUUUAAUUCGAUGGUAAGCGAAGAACCUUACCCAGGCUUGACAUCCUGCCAAGGUCUCCGAAAAGGAGAUUGUGCCUUCGGGCCGCAGUGACAGGUGAUGCAUGGCCGUCGUCAGCUCGUGUCGUGAGAUGUUUGGUUAAGUCCAUCAACGAGCGCAACCCUUAUAGUUAGUUGUAUUUCUCUAGCUAGACUG